rnacentral:rRNA from 1 species
GACAGAGGGGGCAAGCGUUGCUCGGAAUUACUGGGCGUAAAGGGCGCGUAGGCGGCCUUCUAAGUCGGACGUGAAAUCCCUCGGCUUAACCGAGGAACUGCGUCCGAUACUGAAAGGCUUGAAUCCGGGAGAGGGAUGUGGAAUUCCAGGUGUAGCGGUGAAAUGCGUAGAUAUCUGGAGGAACACCGGUGGCGAAGGCGGCAUCCUGGACCGGUAUUGACGCUGAGGCGCGAAAGCUAGGGGAGCAAACGGG